GUCAGACAUGUCCAGAGCGUCAGACAUCCAUCCCUAUUUAUUUGAGGGUGCCUUUUGUGGACAUGCAGAUGCCUUCUUUUUUUCAGGAAAAUAAAUGACAGAUGACCUCCCUACAACUCCUCAUAUUAUGAAAUCUCACAGACCAGCCCAGUUUUUACCCCAAUCUUUCUGGGAGCAGAACUGCAAGAUUGUCUACAUGGUCCGUAAUGCCAAGGACAGUGCAGUGUCCUAUUUCCACUUUUGUCGCAUGAAUCAUGGGCAGCCAGAACCAGGCGACUGGAACACCUUUCUAAACAGUUUUGUGAAGGGAAAA